AGCCGAAACGCGCCGCCACGGCGGGGCGUCCGCCGGGGAAUGGUCCCCCUGGUGCUGACGAGGCAGACCCGU
rnacentral:hammerhead_ribozyme from 1 species